rnacentral:rRNA from 1 species
GACGAACGCUGGCGGCGUGCCUAAUACAUGCAAGUUGAACGAUGAUUUCUGGUACUUGUAUCAGAAUGAAGAGUAGCGAACGGGUGAGUAACGCGUGGGUAACCUACCUCUUAGCGGGGGACAACUAUUGGAAACGAUAGCUAAUACCGCAUAACAAUGCUUAACACAUGUUGAGUAUUUGAAAGUACCAAUUGGUACACUAGGAGAUGGACCCGCGUUGUAUUAGCUAGUUGGUAGUGUAAUGGACUACCAAGGCGAUGAUACAUAGCCGACCUGAGAGGGUGAUCGGCCACAUUGGGACUGAGACACGGCCCAAACUCCUACGGGAGGCAGCAGUAGGGAAUCUUCGGCAAUGGACGAAAGUCUGACCGAGCAACGCCGCGUGAGUGAAGAAGGUUUUCGGAUCGUAAAAC